rnacentral:rRNA from 1 species
UACGUAGGGCGCAAGCGUUGUCCGGAAUUAUUGGGCGUAAAGAGCUCGUAGGCGGUUUGUCGCGUCUGCUGUGAAAACCCGAGGCUCAACCUCGGGCCUGCAGUGGGUACGGGCAGACUAGAGUGCGGUAGGGGAGAUUGGAAUUCCUGGUGUAGCGGUGGAAUGCGCAGAUAUCAGGAGGAACACCGGUGGCGAAGGCGGGUCUCUGGGCCGUAACUGACGCUGAGGAGCGAAAGCGUGGGAGCGAACAGG